AAAAGUGUCAAAAGCUUUGAAAUAUUAAUAUCUGAAGGCAUUACACCUAAGAUAAGUAAAUCAUUACAUGGUCUGUUCUUGUGUCUUGGGAACUGAGCACCAUGAAGAGGCCGUAAGAACUGAAAGUAUGUUUGAUGACGCAACUGCCAGUGCCAUGGUAGAAUCUGUCAAGAGAGGCAGCCAAACUGACCUCACUGGCCAGUAUCAGCCAGAGCAUCCACAUGCUGCAGCUGCUGACCGAUUCACACAGCUUCUUCCAUCACAGCGUUCCUAGGAGGCAGGAACUUCAGCUCCCUGCCUACAAAAUAAAGUUCUGGGCCUCUGAGUUUCUUAUUUAAGGGUAUCUCAGAGAUAAAAAAGAAGCCACAGAAGAGCAGUCUACGAUCAUACCUGGGACAAGUUCCUCAACCUGAUUCCUACUAAAAACAGGUGUGUGCGUGAGCAGGAUAUGGGAGAGCACAUUGCUGUGGCGCAGGUGUGGAGGUCAGGGGAUAACGUUGUGGAGUCAGUUCUCUUUCCGUCUCCACGUGUGUUCCAGGGGCCCAACGGAGACCGGCAGCUUUUGUGGAGUUAGCACCCUUACGCCCUGGGCCAUCUCACCAGCCCAGAGUCAUUGAAAAAGGCCAUGGGAGUGAGUUUCAAAAGUACAUUAAAAUAAAUUUGAAUCAAA